GCUUGUCUCAAAGAUUAAGCCAUGCAUGUCUAAGUAUAAACAAAUCUAUACUGUGAAACUGCGAAUGGCUCAUUAUAUCAGUUAUAGUUUAUUUGAUGGUUCUUGCUACUUGGAUAACCGUAGUAAUUCUAGAGCUAAUACAUGCAUCAAACCCCGACUUCUGGAAGGGGUGUAUUUAUUAGAUGGAAACCAAUGCGGGGCAACCCGGAUUAUGGUGAUUCAUAAUAACUUUCAGAUCGAUCGCAAGAUCGAUGCAUCAUUCAAGUUUCUGCCCUAUCAGCUUUGGAUGGUAGGGUAUUGGCCUACCAUGGCUUUAACGGGUAACGGAGAAUU
rnacentral:rRNA from 1 species